GACAGAGGUGCCGAGCGUUAGGCGGAAUCACUGGGCUUAAAGCGUGUGUAGGCGGGUCGUUAAGUGUCUUGUGAAAUCCCACCGCUCAACGGUGGAACUGCUGGGCAUACUGGCGAUCUUGAGCCACCUAGGGGCAGACGGAACAAGCGGUGGAGCGGUGAAAUUCGUAGAUAUUGGGAGGAACACCGGCGGCGAAGGCGGCGACCUGGUUCGAGUACUGACGCUGAGGCGCGAAAGCGGUGGGGAGCAAACAGG
rnacentral:rRNA from 1 species